AUGGAAAACUCAUAUGAGCUGGACUCACAGAUCAACAACUCCUCAUUUCUAGACAUGAUGAAUGUAGGAUCGAGUGACACAAAUUGUUAUGGAACAGCAGAUUGUAGCCCACUUGCGGAACAAGUGACGAUGCCUCCACAAAAGGGGAAAAAAUCUGCGAAACCAAAAUCAGCAAAAGGAGCCUCCACAAAAGGGAAAAAUUGGUCAACUGCUGAGGACUUGGUGUUGAUUCAAGCAUGGGCAAACACUAGUCUGGAUGCGGUGACCGGGACCGAUCAGAAUUCAAGUACAUAUUGGGGUAGGAUUUCAGAUCACUACGACGCUCACAAAAAACCGUCAUGGCCGGAGCGUGGUUCUAAUGGACUCACUUGUCGUUACAACGUUAUUUCAGCGCUCACGAGCAAGUUCUGUGCAUGUAUUCAACAGAUAUUAAAUAGAAAUUGUAGCGGAAUGACUCUCUCUGAUAAGGAAAGAGAUGCACACCGCAUGUACAUUGAACUGGAUGAGAAAAAGAAGCCAUUUACAUUAAUGCAUUGCUACAUAGAGUUUGAGAAGUAUCCAAAGUGGCAGACACGUCCGCUUCCUCAGAAGAAACAAAAGAAUACCUCGGAUGCAAGUCCGAGUACAACCUCCAACGAUAAAGACUUCGGCGCAUGCACUGAUGCUCUUGAAGAAGAGCUAAGACCUCCUGGUACGAAGCAUGACAAGAAUGAACGUUGA
rnacentral:rRNA from 1 species